AGAAAAGGCUCAGUAGGACUGUAGUUCCAGAGGAGCACUCUGUGAAAAUUUCAACCACAGCAGAGGAAAAUGGGGACUUCGACUUGUAUGGAGAUAGGAGGCUGCUCGGCCGCUGUGAAAAAUCUAAGGGGAGCCCUGCAUCAGAUAUCCAGAAGCUGUUUCCUGCAUUUCCAAGGAUGCUGUGCCCUGUUUACAUCACCGGAACAGGAGGAGGGACACACCCAACAGCUGUAGAAGCAGGAAAUAUCUAAUACAAAACUAAAGUACAA
rnacentral:lncRNA from 1 species